rnacentral:rRNA from 1 species
AGCUAACGUUGGCGGCGUGCCUAACACAUGCAAGUCGAACGCGUUCCGGGGGCAACUCCGGGAUGAGUGGCGAACGGGUGAGUAACACGUGGGUAAUCUUCCUCCGAGUGGGGAAUAAGCUCUCGAAAGGGAGUCUAAUACCGCAUGACGUCCCGAGGCGCAAGCCGAGGGAUUAAAGCCGCAAGGCGCUUGGAGAUGAGCCUGCGUCCUAUUAGCUAGUUGGUAGGGUAAUGGCCUACCAAGGCUGGGAUGGGUAGCCGGCCUGAGAGGGUGAACGGCCACACUGGGACUGAGACACGGCCCAGACUCCUACGGGAGGCAGCAGUGAGGAAUUUUGCGCAAUGGGGGAAACCCUGACGCAGCGACGCCGCGUGGGGGACGAAGGCCUUCGGGUCGUAAACUCCUGUCAGAGGUGAAGAAACCCCGCAAGGGUUUGACGGUAACCUCAGAGGAAGCCCCGGCUAACUACGUGCCAGCAGCCGCCGUAAUAC